GUCACUGACAUACGGCCUCAACAUGACUCCUGCCCUACCUUAUCCUCUCGGCUGCUCACCACGACAAGUCCAGUCCUCUCCCUCCCCUAAACCUAGCGCCGCCACUCACGCCCACCACGCUGCCAUGUCCUCCUCACUCCCCUCAACCUAGCUCCGCCACUGGAGUCGAAGAUCCACGGGCCGGACAUCAAUGAGCCGGCAUCUCGGACCUCCACGGAUAUGCCUCCGCACAGGGAGUCCUGCCUAGCUCCACAGAUCCGUGCAGACCGCGACGAAGGCUGCCUCACCGGCCACCACCAAGGCUUCCUCGCCGAUAGAUGCAGGCCCGCAGCCCCCGACCUCUUUUACUGGCAUCAGGAAUCUGGCGACAUAGAUGGUUCCAGGAACUUGCCCUCACCAAAAGAAGCAAAAGGCAGGAACAAUGCCGGCUGCCAACCAGCAGCCACCACGCACACCAGUCAGAUUGACAAGGCAAAGUGCAGUCAUGCCUUCGCCUGGAGGCUGCCCGCCACCUAAGCCAAGACAUCCCUUGCCUCCUAAGACCACUUCGAAAGCCACCCCUAAAAGAAAUGCCAUUUCCAGUAGUACCCAACAACAGGUCCAGGCCAGUACAACAACUACUGAGACCACUGAAACUACAAACCCAGUGUCUUUUCCUCCAAAAAUGACCAGGUCCACUCAAGCAAUGUCUUCACCAGUUCGAAACACAAUGCCUGGACCUACUAGACACACCAUGCAUAGUCCUCCUAGAUUCACUAGGGCUAGUGCAGCCAUGUCUUCUCCUGGUGCAAACCCUCACCAUAGUCCUCCUAGAUUCACUAGGGCUAGUGCAGCCAUGUCUUCUCCUGGUGCAAACCCUCACCAUAGUCCUCCUAGAUUCACUAGGGCUAGUGCAGCCAUGUCUUCUCCUAGUGCAAAACCUCACCAUAGUACUCCUGCAGCCACUGCUAUCGUAUCUCAUCAACCUAGUCCCACAACUAGUGUUAACAAAAUAGUUCCUACGGACAACUCACCAGGUGGGCACAGCUCUAGGCAAAGCAAUGCCAUCAUUGAGUCAGCUAAGCAAUUUGAUGUUGCUACUUCAGAGGGUAAUCCGAAUGAAGGAGAACCAGUUGGUGACUUAGUUCCAGCCCUUUUAGCGCCCAAAAAGAAUGUCCGCAAGAAAACCAUGGGUCAUGGCUUAGAGAAGAUGCUUAAUAGGGGAAACCGGUUGGCUAUCCACGAGGCUGAAGGGAAGAAAAGACCGGAGGUCCCACUUCAAGCUACCUAUCUACAAAUCUUGGAAGCUGGCAUCGGAAACUGGUGUUGCCCUUAGAGACAACCUACCUAUCUACAAAUCUUGGAAGCUUUAUGACAAUGUCGUGGGGCAGGCAAAAGUACGAAAAGUGCUUGACAAAGUCACUUCAAGGUUGGAUGUCGAUGUUAAGAAUGAGGGACCAAGCAAAGAUGCAUGCACAGAUAUCAUAAAGAGGGGAGUGAGGCAGACGAUGUAUAACCUGAAAAGGAAGUACUUCGACGAGUCACUUACAAAAGAACAGUUGUUGGCCAUGCAACCUCCACCUAAAAUGAAUAAAGAGGAUUGGACUGGGCUGGUAGAGUAUUGGUGUGACCCAAAGAAUCAGGAAAAAUCUGCUAAGAACAAAGCAAACCGAGGCAACGUGUAGCUUCACCAAAGGACUGGAGCUAGGUCCUAUAUAGCCCAUCAUUACAACCUGAGGACUAAGUACAACAACAUGGAGCCGGAUGUUGUUGAUUUCUUUGGGGAAUGUAUGAAUAGUCCCCGAAAUGGUCGUACUCCGCUUGCAAAUGAGAUAUAUGAGCAAAUGGUUGCAGAGAAGGAAAGAGAGCUAGAAGAAGGAGAAGCACAAAAGUCACCCUCCAAGAUUGUUGCUGAUAGUCUCAGCCAGAUCAGCCGCUCAUCCACCUUCCUUCCAAACAUUGGUGUCCCUACAACGUCCAAGACUGGUCGGUCCACAUCGCUAGCUGCACAAGCACGCAUGCAAGCUCAGUUUGAGGAAAAACUCCAAGCUGAAAGAGAGGAAGCUGCUAGGAAGCAGGAAGAGUUGCAAGCACAACUACAAGCUCAACAAGCCGCACUUGAAGAAAACCAAAGUUUGCUGCGCCAGACCCAAGAGGAAGUGAAGGGGAUGCAUACCAAGUUUGAAGAGACCAAUGCACUGCUACGAGCUGUCCUGAAACUUCAGAAAGAUAGAGGUAGGGAUGCAUACCAAGUCUGAGGAUGAUGCCUUUGCUUAAGGUUUUUCUACCUUUCUAGAACAUAUCUGUGGUUAGAACUUUGUCAGAACUACGUGCAAUCUGUUUGAAUGCUUCAAACCUUUGUGGUGGAACUUUUGUAUGUUUGAACCCACAACAAUCUGUUUGAAUGCUUCAAACCUUUGUGGUGGAACUUUUGUAUGUUUGAACCUCUGUUGUGGAAGAACUAGUGUGCUGGAAUUGUGUAUGACUUGUGAUGAGAAUGUUGUGUAUGAUGGCUUUUCUGUGUA